rnacentral:rRNA from 1 species
UACGUAGGGUGCAAGCGUUAAUCGGAAUUACUGGGCGUAAAGCGUGCGCAGGCGGUUUUGUAAGUCUGUCGUGAAAUCCCCGGGCUCAACCUGGGAAUUGCGAUGGAGACUGCAAGGCUAGAAUCUGGCAGAGGGGGGUAGAAUUCCACGUGUGAGCAGUGAAAUGCGUAGAGAUGUGGAGGAACACCGAUGGCGAAGGCAGCCCCCUGGGUCAAGAUUGACGCUCAUGCACGAAAGCGUGGGGAGCAAACGAGGAUUAGAGUACCGUGUA